GAUGAACGCUGGCGGCGUGCCUAAUACAUGCAAGUCGAGCGAACAGACGAGGAGCUUGCUCCUCUGACGUUAGCGGCGGACGGGUGAGUAACACGUGGAUAACCUACCUAUAAGACUGGGAUAACUUCGGGAAACCGGCGCUAAUACCGGAUAAUAUAUUGAACCGCAUGGUUCAAUAGUGAAAGACGGCUUUGCUGUCACUUCUAGAUGGAUCCGCGCCGCAUUAGCUAGUUGGUAGGGUAACGGCUUACCAAGGCAACGAUGCGUAGCCGACCUGAGAGGGGGAUCGGCCACACUGGAACUGAGACACGGUCCAGAGGCCUACGGGAGGCAGCAGUAGGGAAUCUUCCGCAAUGGGCGAAAGCCUGACGGAGCAACGCCGCGUGAGUGAUGAAGGUCUUCGGAUCGUAAAACUCUGUUAUUAGGGAAGAACAAAUGUGUAAGUAACUAUGCACGUCUUGACGGUACCUAAUCAGAAAGCCACGGCUAACUACGUG
rnacentral:rRNA from 1 species